CCUCUUAGCCCGCAGCUUCCGCCUGUCUCCGCACCGUCCCACGAGUCGAUGCGGCGUUUCCUCUGUCAGGCCCUAGGGGAGCGCGCUUGCUCUGUGGAGGGUUGGAUGGCAGAAGAGCCGGCGGAGGGCCACGUGGCAGAGGAACCCUGGUCAUUACUGAAGAACUUCCUUUUCCUAUUUCCUUAGCUUAGGGCACUGAGUGCAAGGAGCAGACCGUGGACUCUGAAUGGGACAUGGGGAAAGUAUAUCCGUGUGUGUGUGUGUGUGUGUGUGUGUGUGUGUGUGUGUGUGUGUGUGAUUGGAGGAAAGGCUUUAAUAACUAGCUGACAGCGUUCAGAUCAGAGCUCCCUGUUCUCGUUUGAGAAAGAAAUGAAAUAUUGAAAGUGGCUCUCCUUAGCAGCACAAAUGGCUAAGAUUAAAGCCAGCAGUCAGAUCCAUUAUAGUAGAAAUGUUUGGCAUACCAUGAGCUACAGCAUACUGACUUUUGGAGGGAAUAGAGAAACAAAAUUGCGUUAUCUCAAGCAACUCGGAUAUUUGCUUCUUUCCAGGGUGGUUAUUGAGAGGAUGCCAGGGUUGCAGCCAUCUUAGAGAAGGUCAGAAUGGGGGCAGCAGGCCCUGGGAAACCCACCAGAGGAUGUGCUGCCCCUAGACAAUAAAGAGCCACAUAAAAAAACCAGUUCCAGACAUUUCCUGCCAUAACCUAAAGGAUAUGAUAGAUUAUAUACUAUAGGUAUCAAAGGGAGCAAGUUUACUGCAGAUAAGAAAUGGGAUGUCAUAUUGUCAGAGAAACGGGUCUGCUGAUGAUAUUGACUGCUAAAAGAUAAGGCAAUUCCCUUGAAGCUGCAACUCUCCAAUCAGUUCAAACCAAGCUUCUCUAACCUAAGCAAGAUCAGAGCAUCAUGCAUAAAUAGAGAAAAAUAGUAGCUAAGAAGAGAGGGCGCUUUGGAUGGAGAAAUAUAAAUAACAAACUAAAAGAAGAGUGGAAAUAUGGGAGUCGUCUCUACAGAGGGUGUUGUCCUUACUCACAUGGUCUGAGUUCCAGUCUGUGGGAAGGGAGAAAGGAGGACUGAAGGACAAAAAAUUUUCUUUCAAGUAAUUGAUGUGGAAGCUGUGCAUCUCAUGAUUCAAUGGAACCCUGGAAAAGGUGGGAGCUGGCCUCCCACAAUGGAUAAAUAACUCGGUGUCUAAGAGCACUUGCUGCUCUUGCAGGUGACUGUAGUUCAGUUCCUAGCACCCACAUCCACUGGCUUACAACUCUGUAACUCCAUUUCCAGGGGAUCUGACACACUCUUAUUGCCUCUGUGGAUACUGCACCCACAAACAAGCAGACAAUUAAACACAAAGAUAGCAAUAAAAUUUUUAAAAAUUAUUGAGGAACUUAAGCUCUGUAAUUAGCAACGGAAGGUGUGGAAUAUCCCUUUACACUGUGUGAAUAUAUGUCACUGUGAUUGGUUUAACAAAGAAGCUGACUGGACUAUAGCUAAGCAGGAUAAGGUUAGGUGGGAGCACCAGACUAAGAGAAUGCUGGGAGGAAGAGUCUCAGAGUCACCAGGCAGACUCAGAAGAAGCAACAUGAAAAGUACAUAGAUAAGGUAAAUGAGCCUCGGGGCAGCACAUAGAUUAAUAGAAAUGGGUUAAUUUAAGUUAUAAGAUCUAGUUAAAAACAAGUCUAAGCUAUCAACCAAGCAUUUAUAAUUAAUAUAUGUCUGUGUGUUUUUUUGGGAACUGAUGGGACAGAAAAGUCCGCCUACAGGAAGGUAGGAAAUAUAAUCAGCCAGGGUGUACCUAUACCCGGCUAAGCUCAUUCUUUUUUCAAGACAAAGUCUCACUAUGCAGUCUUAACUGACAUAGAACUCACUAUGUAGACCAGGCUGGCCUCAAACUCAUAGAGAUUUACCUGUCUCUGCCUUCCAAGUACUGGGAUUAGAAAUGUGCACCACCACAUCUGGUGUAAGCUCAAUUCUUACUGAAGAAAGGAAGACUGGAUUUGGGGUCUAGGUGUCUGAUAUACUAAUAUGUAAGGCAUAUAGGGUUGGUAGAAGCACAGGUGAGCUCAGUGUUUUGGAAGGGAUUAUGACAAUACAUAACAAGAAUCACAAUAAUGUACAAGUUCUUUGACUUAAGGAAAACUUAUUCUAAGAAAAUAUAUGCAUGAAGAUCUGGCUAUAAGGAUGUUCAUUGUAAAUAGCAGAAAAACUGAAAUCCAUCUAAAGGAAGUAUCUCAUUGAUUACUAUAGAUAAGAGUUGUUGUGGGAUAUCUAUACACUGUAUGAAAAUGUAUUGCUGUGAUUGGUGUAAUAAAAAGCUGAAUGGACAAUAGCCAGGCAGGGGGUAUAGGCAGCACUUCCAGGCAGAGAGAGGAAGUAGGAAAUGAAUCUAGGUGCACAUCAGAUGCCAAGAAGACAUGGAGGGAGUCAGACAUACAGAAUGAAAGGUAAAAAGCCACGAGGCAAAACAUAGAUUAAUAUAAAUGGGUUAAUUUAAGUUAUAAGAGCUAGUGGGACAAGCCUAAGCUAAGGUCACGAUUUCACAAUUAAUAAGUCUCUGUGUCAUUAUUUGGGAGCUGACAGCCCAAAGAAAAUUCCAUUACAAAGAGCCUUAUAUUUGUCCUUAGAUACCAAAUGGCAAUAUCACUGCUAGUCAAGCACUGUAAUCCCUAAGUAUUUGUAGUUGCAAUUCCAUGUUUUAUCUGUAACCAUAAGAUAAUGUGUGUGUGUCUGUGUGUCUCCCAGAUUUAGAGUUCUGACAUACAUUAUUUAAUCAGUUCUGCAAGGUAUAUAUCAAUAUAUAAAUGAAUGGAGGCUUAGGGAGCUUAAGAAACUAGUUGAAAAAAAUUAAAUGGUGAGGGCAGAGAGAUGUCUUAGUGAUUAAGAGCAUUGUUGCUCUUGCAGAGAACCCAGGUUCACUUCCCAGCCCUUAUAAGUUAGCUCACAACCAUCUGAAGCUAAAGUUCCAGAGGAUCCAACCUCCCUUCUUCUGACCUCCAUGGGCACCAGACAUGCAUAUGGUGCACAUACAGACAUGCAAGCAAACACUCAUAUACAUAAAAUAAAUCUAAAAAAAUAUUUUAAAGCCUGGGUAUGGUUAUAUACACUGUUAAUCCCAGCACUCAGAAGGCAGAGGCAGAUGGAUCUUUAUGAGUUCAAGGCCAGCCUAGUCUAUAUAGUGCAUUCCAGGACAGCCAAGGCUACAUGGUGAAACCUUGUGUCAAAACAAUAACAACAACAACAACAAAAUUUAAAUCAAACAGUGAUUAAAUAAUGUGAUUUUAUUUUGAAAUAAAUUCAGUAUUGUCUACCUCAUCUCACAUUUCAUUUGUCUUUUCUCUUUUGUCUUACCUAGAAAAUUUGGGUAGAGCAUAUCACUUAGAGAAAACAGUACACACACAUCCCAGGAUGACUCCAGAGGACAACUGACUUCUCAGAGGCCCUUUUAAAACAGUAUCUUGCCAUCUCCUGAGGAUUCAGCAAGGUUUUUAUUUAUUAAUAGUAGAAACCAACCUGAGCUAUUUUAAGUUAAAAGGGUGAACUAUAUGAGAAAAACCUCAUUUUUCCUUAUUCAAUUUUCUCCUUAGCAUCUGGCUUUCUUGGUUGUUCAAACUACAGGCAGCUGAACUAUGACAAUUACAACUUCAGUUUCUACUGUAAUAUAGCUCGUUACAUAAAAAGACUGAAGUCUCUCUGCUUCUAUCCCUGCUUCCAAGUUCCUUGGGAAGACCAUUCAGCUUGAGUCAGUAGGCUACCCCAGUCUAGUCAUUGGCUAGAGUGGAGCUGGAGAAUGUCAUACACAAUUCUGCCAUAGGUGAGGGGACCAGUAAAAAGUUAUCAGGAUGCCCCUCAACCAAAGAAUGUACUGUGGGAUGUCUUUCUGUACACUGUGAAUAUAUGCUGUUCCCAUUGGUUAGUAAAUAAAGCUGCAUUGGCCUAUGGCAGGGCAGGAUGGAGCCAGGCGGGAAAAUCCAAGAGAAAUAAUGAAAGGAGAAAGGAGAGUGGGAGUGGAGGGAGAUGCCAAACUACCAUCCAAGGAGCAACAUGUAAUGGGAUGCAGGUAAAGCCAUGGAACAUGUGGUGCUACAUAGAUAAAUAAUGAAAGAACUAGCUAGCAAGAAGCCUGCCAUAGGCCUUACAGUUGGUAAUUAAUAUAAGCCUCUGAGUGAUUGUUUUAUAAGCAGCUACAGGACCAUGUGGGACCAGAGAAACUUCUGCUACAAGAAUGCAUAAAGGAAAUGUGGCAUAUUUACACAAUGCAGUAUUACUCAGCUGUUAAAAACAAUGACAUCAGGAAAUUUGAGGGCAAAUGGAUGGAACUAGAAACAGUCAUCCUGAAUGAGGUAACCUAGACCCAGAAAGAUAAACAUGGUAUGUACUUACUCAUAAGUGGAUAUUAACUAUAAAGUAAAGGAUAACCAUGAUACAAUACAAACCCAGAGAGACUAAGUAACAAGGAAGGCAGGGACACAUGGAUCUCUCUGGGAAGGGGAAAUAGAAGAGAUCUCCUGGGUAGACUGAGGGAGGGUAGGGAUGGGAACAUGAGGGAUCGGGUUGUAGGGUGGACGGAAGGGGAGAGUACUGAAAGAGAAGUCUUGAUAUGGGGGGCAUUUUUCAGGUCAGAUAGAAACCUGGUGCAAGGAAAGCUCCCACAAAUCUACAAGGAUGACCCCAGCUAAGACUCCUAAUAAUAAUGGAUAGGUAGCCUGAACUGACCAUCUCCUGUAAUCAGAUUGGUGACUACCCACCCCAGUUGUCAUCAAAUAGCUUUCAUCCAGUAACUGAUAGAAACAAAUGCAGAGACCCACAACCAAGCACUGGGCUGAGCUCAAAGGAUCCUGAUGAAGAGAGGGAGGAAGGAUUGUACAAGCCAGGGGGGUCAAGAUCAUCACAAGAGAACCCACAGAAACAACUAACCUGGGCUUAUAGGAGGUUAUAGUCUGGACUGACAGCUAGGGAGCCUACAUGGGAUUGACCUAGGCCCUCUACAUAUGUGUGACAGUUGGGUAGCUUGGUGUAUUGUGGGAUUCCUAGAAGUGGGAACAGGGCUGUCCCUAAUGCUUUGGCUGGCUUUGGGGAACCUAUUCCUCAUACUGAAUUGCCUUGACCAGUCUUAAUACAAGGGGAGGUGCUGUGGGAUGUUCUGUAUGGCAAAUGUGUUGCUAAUUAGUCAAUAAAUAAAACACUGAUUGGCCAUUGGCUAGGCAGGAAGUGUAGGCGGGACAAGGAGGAGAAUAAAGCUGGGAAGUAGAAGGCUGAGUCAGAGAGACACUGCCAGCCGCCACGAUGAGAAACAGCAUGUGAAGAUGCUGGUAAGCCACGAGCCAUGUGACAAGGUAUAGAUUAAUGGAAAUGGAUUAAUUUAAGCUGUAAGAACAGUUAGCAAGAAGCCUGCCACGGCCAUACAGUUUGUAAGCAAUUUAAGUCUCUGUGUUUACUUGGUUGGGUCUGAGUGGCUGUGGGACUGGCGGGUGAGAGAGAUUUGUCCUGACUGUGGGCCAGGCAGAAAAACUCUAGCUACAAAUGGCGUCCAACGUGGUGGCAAGAGUUUCCACCUAAAACCUGAGAAAAAAGAUUCUAAAAUGGAGCUAAAAACAGUUCCUAAUUGUCUCUCUCAAAUGAGCGGCAGCUGCCAGUUUGAGCUACUUGUGGGUUCCUAGCGUGCACGCUUGACCUGCCGCUGUAUGGCGGGAAUGAGGCCUCUGCAAGUGGCACAUUAAGCUGUGUGGUGGAUUUAGCCUUUGCAGGUAUAAAACAAAAAAAGAGGUUUCUGGGCUACACGCUGCUUGGAUAAAAGCAUAGACCCACGAUAGCUCCCAGAGCUGGUGGUAAACCACUGCCAUGUUGGGAAGCUGAGGUGGGCGGAGCCAGCAGCCACAGCUGCUGCAGUUUAAAGCAAUAGAUUCACAAUAAGACAGAUUCAGAUGUAAUAGUUUACAAUGUGUGUAAAAUGUACGUAGGCUUGAAAGAGACUAAAAAGGUGAUAUAUACAGUUAUAUAAACAAAUACAUAGUUUUAAAAAAUAAAGUCUUUAAAGAGACAGUAAAAUUAAUAUAAAAAAUAAGCCACGUAAAGAUGAAUAUUACACAGAGAAUCUGGAUUGUGUUGUCUUUGGGAUUUUUAACUGCAGAAAAACAUUUGAUUGUAAAAGCUGUUGAGUUAAACCAAUAUAUAUAUUUUAAAGAUACCUUGACUUCAAAAUUUGGAUAUAAGGAUAUGUUACUUUGGAAAGGAGACUCUGCUUUUGUUCCCACAGAAAGCCAAAGGCUAUGGAUUUGUUCCAGAUUAAGAUACAUCAGGUUUGACCAGCCAAGACCCCCUGAAAGGUCUCCGAUGACACCAUGGCCCAGAUGAUUCAACAUCCAGAAUGGUUUCAAGGCAACUGGCUCAGAUGAUACAGCCUCAUGGACUAUGCCAUAAUCCUAAAAUUUUCUUUGUAUCCCCAUAAGAUACAGCGCCCCCCUCCAGCAGGAAGUAGUAAGAGAAGCUACGCCCAAAUUCCCAAAUUAUAUGUAAUUUUACUUUGUUAAGGUUAAAACCUUCCUUUUUGAAAAAAAAAGGGGGAAGUGCUGUGGGAUGUUCUGUAUGGCAAAUGUGUUGCUAAUUAGUCAAUAAAUAAAACACUGGCCAUUGGCUAGGCAGGAAGUGUAGGCGGGACAAGGAGGAGAAUAAAGCUGGGAAGUGGAAGGCUGAGUCAGAGAGACACUGCCAGCUGCCACGAUGAGAAACAGCAUGUGAAGAUGCUGGUAAGCCACGAGCCAUGUGGCAAGGUAUAGAUUAAUGGAAAUGGAUUAAUUUAAGCUGUAAGAACAGUUAGCAAGAAGCCUGCCAUGGCCAUACAGUUUGUAAGCAA